rfam:Daphnia pulex DAPPTscaffold_120_Cont5020, whole genome shotgun sequence.
GCGGAUGUGGCCGAGUGGUUAAGGCGACUGACUCGAAAUCAGUUUCCAUCUUGGAGCACAGGUUCGAAUCCUGUCAUCCGCG